rnacentral:rRNA from 1 species
UACGUAGGGUGCAAGCGUUAAUCGGAAUUACUGGGCGUAAAGCGUGCGCAGGCGGUUUUGUAAGUUUGUCGUGAAAGCCCCGGGCUCAACCUGGGAAUUGCGAUGAAGACUGCAAGGCUUGAAUCUGGCAGAGGGGGGGUAGAAUUCCACGUGUAGCAGUGAAAUGCGUAGAGAUGUGGAGGAAGCACCGAUGGCGAAGGCAGCCCCCUGGGUCAAGAUUGACGCUCAUGCACGAAAGCGUGGGGAGCAAACAGG